rnacentral:lncRNA from 1 species
AGAAUAUCAACUAUAUCAGAAUAUCCUAUACCAAAAUAUAGAAGGUGAAAAGGCUGGUAAUGUAGGCUUACUACAGACUCCUGUAGUUUAGGAAGAGUCUGGAGCCUGUGGAAAAAAAGGAAAGACAGCAUAGCUGUUGAGUCAUAGUGUACCUUAAAGAAGAAUUGCCAUUGAGUGGGGUACCCUGAUGUCUGGAAGGGCAUAACCAGAAUUUCCUGCCUGACUCCUGCAUCCCUCCCACCCCAGAUCACUGAGCAUUCCCUGCACACAGUGCAUUCAUUGCAAACCAACUUCAGACCUAUGGCACAGAGGAUAAAACCUGCAACAACUUUGAGAUAACUAUUUGGAUAGCCACAAGACUAAGAGCAGGAUCAGGCAGAUGCAUUUGGCUGUUGAGCAGGGCAGUCUCUAAACAGUGGAAAAGAGGAGGGGAUGACUCACUGCUGCAGCAAGCUGAGGAUGCUUCUGCUCACUGCCUCCAGACUAAUUAAUUUAUCAUGAAAGUGGAG